rnacentral:rRNA from 1 species
GACGAACGCUGGCGGCGUGCUUAACACAUGCAAGUCGAGCGGUAAGGCCCUUUCGGGGGUACACGAGCGGCGAACGGGUGAGUAACACGUGGGUGACCUGCCCUCAGCUCUGGGAUAAGCCUGGGAAACCGGGUCUAAUACUGGAUAUGACUCCAUGACGCAUGUUGUGGGGUGGAAAGCCUUGUGCGGCUGAGGAUGGGCCCGCGGCCUAUCAGCUUGUUGGUGGGGUGANGGCCUACCAAGGCGACGACGGGUAGCCGGCCUGAGAGGGCGACCGGCCACACUGGGACUGAGACACGGGCCCAGACUCCUACGGGAGGCAGCAGUGGGGAAUUUGGACAAUGGGGGCAACCCUGAUCCAGCCAUGCCGCGUGAGUGAAGAAGGCCU